AGUGAACGCUGGCGGUAGGCCUAACACAUGCAAGUCGAACGGCAGCACAGUAAGAGCUUGCUCUUACGGGUGGCGAGUGGCGGACGGGUGAGGAAUACAUCGGAAUCUACUUUUUCGUGGGGGAUAACGUAGGGAAACUUACGCUAAUACCGCAUACGACCUACGGGUGAAAGCAGGGGAUCUUCGGACCUUGCGCGAUUGAAUGAGCCGAUGUCGGAUUAGCUAGUUGGCGGGGUAAAGGCCCACCAAGGCGACGAUCCGUAGCUGGUCUGAGAGGAUGAUCAGCCACACUGGAACUGGGACACGGUCCAGACUCCUACGGGAGGCAGCAGUGGGGAAUAUUGGACAAUGGGCGCAAGCCUGAUCCAGCUAUACCGCGUGGGUGAAGAAGGCCUUCGGGUUGUAAAGCCCUUUUGUUGGGAAAGAAAAGCAGCAGGUUAAUACCCCGCUGUUCUGACGGUACCCAAAGAAUAAGCACCGGCUAACUUCGUG
rnacentral:rRNA from 1 species